AUGGGGUAUUCCUGGAUAGUUGGGAAUGGCAAUAGUGUUAGAUUCUGGGAAGACCAGUGGAUUGGGCAUACCACCCUUGCUACCCAGUAUUGGGACUUGUACACUAUUGCCAUUGACCAUAAUAUUUCUAUCAGUGAAGUGUGGGAUGGCACUAAUCUUAAAAUUACUUUUAGGAGGUGUUUUACCCAAAAAGUGCUAGCUGAUUGGAAUGAUCUAUUCAGUCGCAUUAUUAAUAUUAAGCUGGAGGACAUGGAAGAUACAAUCCUCUGGAAUUAUGAAAUUAAGGGUGUCUACACUGUAAAAUCUUUCUACAACAUUGUUAAUUUUAGGGGGGUUCGGCUGGGUAACCUGCCAGUUAUUUGGAAAGUCAAUGUCCCCCUGAGGAUUCAGAUUUUUCUCUGGCUUAUGGCCAAAAACAAAUUAUUAACGAGGGAUAAUCUGCAAAAAAAGACAACAUGUAGAAGAUGCUACUUGUCUUUUCUGUAG
rnacentral:rRNA from 1 species